rnacentral:rRNA from 1 species
GAUAAACGCUAGCGGCAGGCUUAACACAUGCAAGUCGAGGGGCAGCAUAGAUUGUAGCAAUACAAUUGGUGGCGACCGGCGCACGGGUGCGUAACGCGUAUGCAACCUACCCGUCACAGGGGGAUAAUCCGGAGAAAUCUGGUCUAAUACCCCAUAACAUAUGGAUCGGCAUCGGUUCAUGUUGAAAUUUUCGGAGGUGGCGGAUGGGCAUGCGUAGCAUUAGCUUGUUGGUGAGGUAACGGCUCACCAAGGCGACGAUGCUUAGGGGGACUGAGAGGUUUUCCCCCCACACUGGUACGGAGACACGGACCAGACUCCUACGGGAGGCAGCAGUGAGGAAUAUUGGUCAAUGGGCGCAAGCCUGAACCAGCCAUGCCGCGUGCAGGAUGACGGCUCUAUGAGUUGUAAACUGCUUUUGUACGAGGGUAAAGUGGGUUACGUGUAACCUUUUGAAAGUAUCGUACGAAUAAGGAUCGGCUAACUCCGUGCCAGCCGCCGCAGUAA